rnacentral:rRNA from 1 species
UACGGAGGGUGCGAGCGUUGUCCGGAAUCACUGGGCGUAAAGGGCGCGUAGGCGGCCUGAUAAGUAGGGGGGUGAAAUCCUGCGGCUUAACCGCAGGGCUGCCUUCUAAACUGUCAGGCUGGAGCACAGUAGAGGCAGGUGGAAUUCCCGGUGUAGCGGUGGAAUGCGUAGAGAUCGGGAAGAACAUCGGUGGCGAAGGCGGCCUGCUGGGCUGUUGCUGACGCUGAGGCGCGACAGCGUGGGGAGCAAACAGG